rnacentral:rRNA from 1 species
CCUACGGGGGGCAGCAGUGGGGAAUCUUGCACAAUGGGCGAAAGCCUGAUGCAGCAACGCCGCGUGCGGGAAGAAGGCCCUCGGGUUGUAAACCGCUUUCAGUAGGGAAGAAAAUGACGGUACCUACAGAAGAAGGUGCGGCCAACUACGUGCCAGCAGCCGCGGUGACACGUAGGCACCAAGCGUUAUCCGGAUUUAUUGGGCGUAAAGAGCUCGUAGGCGGUUUGGUAAGUCGGGUGUGAAAACUUAGGGCUCAACCCUGAGAGGCCACUCGAUACUGCUAUGACUAGAGUACGGUAGGGGAGCGGGGAAUUCAUGGUGUAGCGGUGAAAUGCGCAGAUAUCAUGAGGAACACCAGCGGCGAAGGCGCCGCUCUGGGCCGUAACUGACGCUGAGGAGCGAAAGCGUGGGUAGCAAACAGGCUUAGAUACCCCUGUAGUC